AUGGCGGAGGCGGGCCGCGGCAAACGGGACUCCAAGACGCUGGAUCUGUUCCCCUUGGUCUCAGGAUGUGAAGCCCCGAAUGAAGGCAACCCCAUAGGCCUGGCCUGCUUGGCACGAGGACCCUCCGUAGAGUCGGUGCAGGUCAGCUUGAGCCCCGGGGCGCAGGACCAGAGGCAGAAGACCCCCCUGAUCGUGCUGGGGACGCACGGGCACACUCGGCUGUCCGUCCUGAUGGCCAGCUGGAAGCCGGGCCCACACCACUGCAGAGCCACCGUCAGGGGGGGGCGCCCCCCCAGCAACGAGCUGCGGAAGGACAUCCAGUGGCCAGCGUCCUGGGAAGUGAGGACCUCCCGGUCGACUCGCAGGCCGUCCCUACCAGAGGACUCCACCAGAGCCCCCAGCACUGCCAGGGUCCCAGGCUGCGGGAACCACACCCACCCUCCCAGCCUCUCCUGCACGCUAAGCCAGCCCAGCACGCCUUCCCAGGUGGCGCCCACAGCACCAGGCGGGCACGCUGCCACAGCGCCCUGCUGCCUCGCCGUCCGCGCCCUGACCGUGCCCCAGGUGGCCUCCUGGCUCCUGUGUGAGGUGUCUGGCUUCUCGCCCCCGGACAUCCUCCUCACCUGGCGCCAGGGCCGGACGGAGGUGGACCCUGCUGGGUUUGCCACUGCACGCCCCACAGCCCAGCCUGGGAGGAGCACGUUCCAGACCUGGAGCGUCCUGCGCGUCCUCGCCGCCCAGGACCCUGGCCCGGCCACCUACACGUGCGUGGCCAGGCACGACGCCUCCCGGAAGCUGCUCAACUCCAGCUGGAGCCUGGACACUGGUCUGGCCAUGACCCUCCCACCCCCCCAGAGCCACGACGAGAGCGGCGGGGACUCCACGGACCUGGAGGAUGCCAGCAGACUGUGGCCCACGUUCGCAGCCCUCUUCCUCCUCACUCUGCUCUACAGCGGCUUUGUCACCUUCAUCAAGGUGAAGUGACCCCAGGACAGCAGACGCCCAGCACCU